AGUGAACGCUGGCGGUGGGCCUAACACAUGCAAGUCGAACGGCAGCACAGUAAGAGCUUGCUCUUACGGGUGGCGAGUGGCGGACGGGUGAGGAAUACAUCGGAAUCUACUUUUUCGUGGGGGAUAACGUAGGGAAACUUACGCUAAUACCGCAUACGACCUACGGGUGAAAGCAGGGGAUCUUCGGACCUUGCGCGAUUGAAUGAGCCGAUGUCGGAUUAGCUAGUUGGCGGGGUAAAGGCCCACCAAGGCGACGAUCCGUAGCUGGUCUGAGAGGAUGAUCAGCCACACUGGAACUGAGAAACGGUCCAGACUCCUACGGGAGGCAGCAGUGGGGAAUAUUGGACAAUGGGCGCAAGCCUGAUCCAGCCAUACCGCGUGGGUGAAGAAGGCCUUCGGGUUGUAAAGCCCUUUUGUUGGGAAAGAAAAGCAGCAGGUUAAUACCCCGCUGUUCUGACGGUACCCAAAGAAUAAGCACCGGCUAACUUCGUG
rnacentral:rRNA from 1 species